rnacentral:rRNA from 1 species
UACGGGGGGAGCAAGCGUUGUUCGGAUUUACUGGGCGUAAAGGGCGCGUAGGCGGCCACUGCAAGUCGGUUGUGAAAUCUCCGGGCUUAACCCGGAAAGGUCAACCGAUACUGCAGGGCUAGAGUGCGGAAGAGGCGAGUGGAAUUCCUGGUGUAGCGGUGAAAUGCGCAGAUAUCAGGAGGAACACCUAUUGCGAAGGCAGCUCGCUGGGACGUAACUGACGCUGAGACGCGAAAGCGUGGGGAGCGAACAGG